AUGGACGUCAUGUGGCUGUACUCUCUGUGCCAGUGCAUCCUGUCGGCGGCUGUGGUCGUGGCGAGCGUGAGGUUGUGCAUGGCCGCGAGCGGCAGCGGGGCCGGAUCCCAGGGGGCCACGCUCCAACCCGGCAGCGUCUCAUGCUGUCUCCGCCUGUGCUUGGGCUGGGCGGGCGCCGUCGGGGGCGCAGCCGGGAUCCCCGCGAACGUGUUGCUCAACCAGCGAACCCCGCAGUGUCUGUACACGUGCAUAACCUUGGUGUGUUGCCCCCUGCUGGUCAGGCAGUUCACCAUGUUCCUGUUGAUGCUCCUCACGCUGGAUGGCCACCUGCGGCACCGCUUGGCAGACAGGUACUCCUCGGCGAUGACCCGCCAGCGAGCUCUCUGCCUGGUCCUCCUGUGCUGGGUGGCCUCCGUCCUGUCCUCCUUCUCCCAGUUCAUCGGCUCGGACGUCCUCGACACCUGGAGGAGCCGCGCGACCGACCCGGACACGGCCGGCCUCGGGCUGCACGGCAACUGGACGACGCCGCCGCCUUCGCCCCGCCUUACGUCUUCCCCGCCCCUUAGGUACGACCACGGGCGCAAGGUCAUCGGCAAGUACCUUCCGUACGGGGGCUUCCUGUCAAAGUUUUACGUGGAAGACAUGCACAACUUCACCUACGCCGAGAUUCACAGCAGCCACUGGGGGGGUGUGCGCCGCCGACACCGUUCUCAGCCCCCAGUUCUUGAUCUACGUCCACGGGACGACGGCGUUCAUGCUCCCCUUGCUUUGCCUGCUGCUGGUCUACCUGGACCUGUUGUGCGUCAGGCCCGGGAAGACGCCUCUCAGUCACGCAGACCCCACUAAACGUGCGUCGCGGCAGGCGCGUUCCCCGGCGCUGUCCCUUUCCCUUUUAGUCCUCCUGUGCCUGCCGCUCCACAUCGUCCACGCCCUCCUGCUCUUCACCUCAGGCACCAAUCUUCCCGCCUGGGUUCACGCCGUCGCCGUGUUCCUCUUUCAGCUGUACGGCCUCGUGCCCCCGAUCCUCUUCACUCCCCCCGGGAAACGAGUCGGGGGAGAGAGGGCGUCCUUUCCCCUCUCGGUCGCCCCCCUCCCGCCUCCGGGAGCAGCGGCGGCGUCCGGAGGGAAAUCGGUGCGCGCGGCGCUGCGCGAGGCCGUGCGGGCGGCCCCCUGGUCCUCAGCCAAACGCUCCCUGAAAGCCAAAGUCUUCCCAGAGGUCUGAAGUCUUCCCGCUCAAACAAGCGCGCCGUUGUUUUUGUGUUCCCGCCGUGUUUUGUGUGCAUGCGGGUUAAAAAAAAAAGCCUUUUUUGCAACAAAGUGUUUGCAACAGCUUGCGUACUGACGGAGAACAAACACGGCGCGGCGUUUGUUGUCCGCCUGUUGACUAAUCAGCAACCUGGCGCAGACUCCAUGAAUAACUUGUAAAUGAAAAGGCCAGUUAAUUAUCAGGGCCCACACCAAAUGUCAGCGAGAAGUCUCUCGGCGAUGAAAUCCUGAUCGCAGAUGUCUGUUGUCUUUGACUGCCCCCCCCCCCCCCCCAGUGGUAUUAUCAUAAGCCCUCUAAGUCUGUGCUAAGCCGACCACCAGCGAUGUAGAUAUGAGUGACAGCGUUUAAUUAAACACUCAGUGAAAUGUGGUCCAGCGAGGACGCGGCGGCGUAGGGAAAACAUCAUUAACCUGGUUAUGACUAUUUGAUUAAACGUGUAAUGAAACGGGCCUCGCUCGCCCCACUUGGAUUGUUCGUCUUGAAACGUGUUGUUGUGAGAAUCCAUCUCCUUCUGCACGGGACAUCGACGUGACAUUUCUCUUUUCUUUUGCCUGUUUCUGAUGAUCGUAGAUCAGCUCAUUCUCUCCCUCUCCAAUUCGUUUUUUUUUCAAUUUCUGCUCUGUGGCUUUGAAUUAGUCGCUCGCAAUUCUCGUCAGUUGAUCAUUUUCACGGAUUCUGUGUCUAUUUUACAUUUAUUCUCAAAGCCGCUGUCUUGUUUUCAUCUAUUUUGUAUGAACUCAAAAAAUACACAUGGAUUUCUUUUGUUUUGCUAUUUGUUGGAUGUGCAUUACUCUGAUUAUUUAUGGAUCAAUCAGGAUAAAGGGGGUAAAAAAAGAAAAAGAAAAAUCCCGGCUUCUGCCGAUUCAAUUGUUCUCUCGGCCGUAAAUCUCUUUGCUCCCUGAUUGUUGUGGGUCUGGUCACACUCGGGCUCCACAAUCAAUGCCUCGUGACACGCCGCCGCGCACUACAAGCCGCGUCCCCCGUUCUGAGGUCACCGGGGGUUGAUUUCACAGAUGGACAAAACUGUGUCUAAUCCAGCAGAAAAAUGAAGAGUUUGUUUUUGGACGGCCUGCGCCAAGUCGUAGAAAUGAAUUACGAGCGCCAUAAAAGGGCCGUAAACCGGGAAUUAUCUCACGUAGAGACGCUCCAGGGCGUUAAAUGGUGAAAGUAGCACGAGGGAGCGACNNNNNNNNNNNNNNNNNNNNNNNNNNNNNNNNNNNNNNNNNNNNNNNNNNNNNNNNNNNNNNNNNNNNNNNNNNNNNNNNNNNNNNNNNNNNNNNNNNNNUCCAUUGACUUACCUGUCCACUGACUUCUACCUGUCCACUGGCUUCUUGCUGUCCACUGGCUUCUACCUGUCCACUGACUUCUUUCUGUCCACUGGCUUCUACCUGUCCACUGGCUUCUACCUGUCCACUGGCUUCUACCUGUCCACUGGCUUCUACCUGUCCACUGGCUUCUUGUGUCCACUGACUUCUACCUGUCCACUGGCUUCUUGUGUCCACUGACUUCUACCUGUCCACUGGCUUCUACCUGUCCACUGGCUUCUACCUGUCCACUGGCUUCUUGUGUCCACUGACUUCUACCUGUCCACUGGCUUCUUGUGUCCACUGACUUCUACCUGNNNNNNNNNNNNNNNNNNNNNNNNNNNNNNNNNNNNNNNNNNNNNNNNNNNNNNNNNNNNNNNNNNNNNNNNNNNNNNNNNNNNNNNNNNNNNNNNNNNNCCACUGGCUUCUUGUGUCCACUGGCUUCUACCUGUCCACUGGCUUCUUGUGUCCACUGGCUUCUCGCUGUCAUUACUGGCGAGACAAUGUUCCCACGUUUACAUGUCGAGGAAUAAACUGCUACCAAUGUCGUUCCUGCUUGUGUCUUUGAUUGACUCCAUGAUCACCGUCUAUGUUCUUCAUCACGUCUAGCAGCUGAAAAUGUGUCGUUUUUAUUGUCUAGUGAAAAAAGGAUUUAAAAGGAAAUAUUUCCUCUUCCUUCCCGUGAGGAGAAGCAGAACGGAGGACAUUUCCGUCUUCAUUGCUGAUCCACCACGGUGGCCCAGAUAGCGGGAGCUGCUAACGCUAACUCUGCGUCAUCAUAAACUCCAGAUAUGUCUAUCGAGUGUCAACUCACGGCCGCGGCGCCCGGCGAGCCCAUUACUUUGAUUGCCGUUUGGCCUUCAGUCCCGAGGGCUGGCGCCCGCGGGGCCCCCCCCCCCACGGAAAAAAAACCCCCCCACCCCCCCCCCCCCCCCCCCCCGGCGACCUCCAGCGGCUUUCAAAUCCAGGCCCGCACGCGGAUGCACACGCUGAGUGCCUCCCGACACAAUCGGGUAUUGAUUGUGCGGAAGUCAACGGCGGGGUCACAUUUUGCUGUCUCAACCCGCGACUUCUGUCUGUGCCCGUGAUUCAUUAGCGGCGCCGCGGAACCUUCUGUUUAUUUUAUUUGUCCUAAUUGAGCUGCCACGACGGGCUCGGUUUCCUACAUCUUCGUCCUCCCAGCUGGAGCUCCACUGCCCCCCAUGGACGGAACCAUGUGCACAGUGAACAGACCCAAAAACCAGUCGGAUCCCAGGGGUUGUUUUGGAAUUCUUUUUAAUUUUUUCGUGCUUUGUAUCUUUCCCCUAUAAAGAAUAGUUAGCUAUACAUCAACAGUUACGCAUGAGACUCUGAACCAAACGGGAGUGAAGGACAGGAGAAGAGACGACUAGGCACAGAAGACGAAGAGAGAGGAAAGGUAAGAGUGAAAAAAGACAGCAAUUUCUCUACAGUGGAACGGAAAACAAACCAUGGGAAGUGUACGUUUCUUUAACAUUUACAAUUGUAAUAAUACCAACGGCCAUAAUAAUAACAUUAACAACAAUCAGAAUUGUUCAAAUAAUAACAAUUGAUAAAAAAUCCAUUAAACCUCUGGUUUCUCAUAAAGACAAAUGACAUUUUUUUUUUUUUUAUUCUUUUCUUUAUUUUCUUUAAAGAUCACUGGACAGGUUUGUUCGGCUUUGCACCUCUAUAGGCUAAUAUUCUGUGUUAGUAUAUUUGCUUCAUAAUGCGUUUCAAUAGUAAACUUUUUUUUUUUUCUUAAAAGAUUCAUUUAAUUUAUGUUGCUGCUCUUUUUUUUUAUACAAAUACGGCGUUCAGAGAUGUGUAUGCUGCCUGCUGCGUGUAUAAAUGUGUCGACAUGUGUGGUAGCGUUCAGAAAAAAAAAACAUCCACCCAUUUCAGUUCCUAAUUCAUUCACUCCCCUUGCCCUUCUUAAGACUUUUAAACCUUUUUAUCCUCUUAAUGACAUUCUAAAAUAAUUAAGCUCUUCUUUAAUGCCUCGGCAAGUCAUAUUCCUUUCUUCCUCGUCGGGAACGCAGCCCAACACUAAUCCUUUCAUUAACAGGAGCCAACAAAGGAGGGGAGAUAGCGGGGGGGGGAGACGGGGAGGCAGGAGGGGAUGGUAACAGGUGAGCGGGGGGAGGAGACGGAGACCUAAUUGAAAGAAAGGAGAAACCGUUCGCGAGAUAAAAUCCUGAAAGGGGAUUUUUCACAAACGGUCGGUGGGCCACCUAGCACGCGCGUCUCGUCCGCCAAGUCUGGAUGGCUUGGCAGAGGACUAACUGGGAUACUUUGGCCGUUUUCAAAAUUUAAAUUUUCUAGCUCUCAAUAGCUCUCGAAACCGCCUCCGCCGGCUAUCGACUGAAUCCACCGCGGCGGUCGGACAGGCCGCUUUUCUCUGCGCUCCCUUUCGUCCCCUUCGACCCCAGAGAAUAAUUAUGGCAUCAUUUCCCCCCCCGACUCGCUCGCUUCCCUCAGUCUCCCCGAACUCAGAGUAUAAUGGCACCGCCGUCGAUGGCUGGUGGGUCUAUAGGCUCUUUUCCUCGCUCGGUGUGUGCGUGUGCGUGUG
ensembl:lncRNA